UACGGGGGGGGCAAGCGUUGUUCGGAAUUACUGGGCGUAAAGCGUGCGUAGGCGGCUCUUCAAGUCGAGUGUGAAAGCUCCAGGCUUAACCUGGGAAUUGCGCUCGAUACUGUUGAGCUAGAGUGUGGAAGGGGCUACUGGAAUUCCAGGUGUAGCGGUGAAAUGCGUAGAUAUCUGGAGGAAUACCGGUGGCGAAGGCGGCAUCCUGGACCGAGAUUGACACUGAGGAGCGAAAGCUAGGGGAGCAAACGGG
rnacentral:rRNA from 1 species